rnacentral:rRNA from 1 species
AACGCGAAGAACCUUACCCAGGUUUGACAUACAGAGGACGAUACCAGAGAUGGUAUUUCCCGAAAGGGUCUUUGUACAGGUGCUGCAUGGCUGUCGUCAGCUCGUGCCGUGAGGUGUUGGGUUAAGUCCCGCAACGAGCGCAACCCUUAUCAUUAGUUGCCAACACGUAAUGGUGGGAACUCUAAUGAGACUGCCCAGGUUAACUGGGAGGAAGGUGAGGAUGACGUCAAGUCCGCAUGGCCUUUAUAUCUGGGGCUACACACGUGCUACAAUGGUCGGUACAGAAGGCAGCGAAGUCGAAAGAUGGAGCAAAUCCCAAAAAGCCGAUCUCAGUUCAGAUUGUAGUCUGCAACUCGACUACAUGAAGUUGGAAUUGCUAGUAAUGGCGUGUCAGCAACAACGCCGUGAAUACGUUCCCGGGCCUUGUA